AGUGAACGCUGGCGGUAGGCCUAACACAUGCAAGUCGAACGGCAGCACAGUAAGAGCUUGCUCUUACGGGUGGCGAGUGGCGGACGGGUGAGGAAUACAUCGGAAUCUACUUUUUCGUGGGGGAUAACGUAGGGAAACUUACGCUAAUACCGCAUACGACCUACGGGUGAAAGCAGGGGAUCUUCGGACCUUGCGCGAUUCAAUGAGCCGAUUCCGGAUUAGCUAGUUGGCGGGGUAAAGGCCCACCAAGGCGACGAUCCGUAGCUGACCGGAGAGGAUGAUCGGCCACACUGGAACUGAGACACGGUCCAGACUACUACGGGAGGCAGCAGUAGGGAAUAUUCCGCAAUGGGCGAAAGCCUGACGGAGCAACGCCGCGGGAGUGAUGAAGGUCUUCGGAUCGUAAAACUCUGUUAUUAGGGAAGAACAAAUGUGGAAGUAACUAUGCACGUCUUGACGGUACCUAAUCAGAAAGCCACGGCUAACUACGUG
rnacentral:rRNA from 1 species